GAUGAACGCUGGCGGCGUGCCUAAUACAUGCAAGUCGAGCGAACAGAUGAGGAGCUUGCUCCUCUGACGUUAGCGGCGGACGGGUGAGUAACACGUGGAUAACCUACCUAUAAGACUGGGAUAACUUCGGGAAACCGGAGCUAAUACCGGAUAAUAUAUUGAACCGCAUGGUUCAAUAGUGAAAGACGGUUUUGCUGUCACUUAUAGAUGGAUCCGCGCCGCAUUAGCUAGUUGGUAAGGUAACGGCUUACCAAGGCAACGAUGCGUAGCCGACCUGAGAGGGUGAUCGGCCACACUGGGACUGAGACACGGUCCAGACUCCUACGGGAGGCAGCAGUAGGGAAUCUUCCGCAAUGGGCGAAAGCCUGACGGAGCAACGCCGCGUGAGUGAUGAAGGUCUUCGGAUCGUAAAACUCUGUUAUUAGGGAAGAACAAAUGUGUAAGUAACUAUGCACGUCUUGACGGUACCUAAUCAGAAAGCCGCGGCUAACUACGUG
rnacentral:rRNA from 1 species